rnacentral:rRNA from 1 species
CCCUUAGAUGUUCUGGGCCGCACGCGUGCUACACUGAUGCAUUCAACGAGUCUAAAACCUGGUCUGAUAGGGCUGGGUAAUCUUUUGAAAGUGCAUCGUGAUUGGGAUAGAUGAUUGCAAUUCUUCAUCUUCAACGAGGAAUGCCUAGUAAACGCAAGUCAUCAGCUUGCAUUGAUUACGUCCCUGCCCUUUGUACACACCGCCCGUCGCUCCUACCGAUUGAACGGUUUAGUGAGGGCCUCGGAUUGGUCUCGGCCCGCUCUUUACCGGGCGGCGCCGUUGGUCGAGAAGACGCUCGAACUUGAUCGUUUAGAGGAAGUAAAAGUCGUAACA